AAAAAGGGGAAAAAAAAACCCUGAGCCCUAGAUUAGGGUUUGAUUCGACGGAAGCCAUUCUUCUCUAAUCUCAUUUUCAUUCCCUCUCCAACCAUUGAAUUGUUCGGUGGGGAUGUGUUUCAAUCCCAACUUUAGAACUCUGCUGCAUAGCAAGAAGCCCGAAUGGUGCCUGGUGGGUUACGAAGUCGAAUUGGGAUUUCGACGAAGCAACAACAUUCGGAACCCCCCGAAGAGAUUUGUCUCCACCGGAUCUUUGAUAAUGAAUGCUCCUUGCAAAGUUUAAGGACAUGCUAGCAUCAUAUUUGUGGUCCCAAGAUUGUGAGAGGUAUGGGUUCGUCCUUUGAGGAUCUAUGAAAUCGAGUCUUCCGAAAAUCUCUAAGACCUCUGGUGGUUCCUUUUCCCUUCAUCCACCCACCCUUCUUCUCCCCCGAAAGCAGAAAACUCAUCCCUUCGAUUGAAAAAGCUGAUGGAUAUCGAACCCAGUUUUCCUGCUCGUGGAUUACCCGAGAUGUUUAUGAUUCAGCAAUUGGUUUGCCACCCGACGACAACCAUAUCUCUAGUUUGAAAGACCUUUUGCUGUCAGCAGAUUCCAAACAGAUGACAGCAAAGAUUCAACGACGCAUCUAAAUCCCCCGCCAGGCUUUCCAAUGGAGAUCCUGAAGAAACACAGGCCAAAGUUUCAUUAUAAGAACCGAAAGCAAACUAAUUGGUAAGGCUUCGGGACCUUGUCUCAAACUGCAAGAAUCUGUCUCUUUCAUUGUUCCAUGACAAUUUUCCGUUAGAGUAAUGUCUAUGGAUUAAUUUAAUAUUCACAUCUUUUCCGUAGAAUAAUGUUUAUGUUGGACCGGUUAAGUACACAACAUUUCACUUCA